rnacentral:rRNA from 1 species
AACCAUUCACAAUGCACGAAAGUGUGAUGAUGCGACGCCGCGUGGAGGAUGAAGGCUUUAGGGUCGUAAACUCCUGUCAGGAGGGAAAAACCUCCUAGGUAUUAAUACUACUUAGGAUUGAUGGUACCUCCAGAGGAAGCCACGGCUAACUCUGUGCCAGCAGCCGCGGUAAUACAGAGGUGGCAAGCGUUGUUCGGAUUUACUGGGCGUAAAGGGUGCGUAGGCGGCAUUGUGUGUCGGAUGUGAAAUCUCACGGCUUAACCGUGAAAUUGCAUCCGAAACUACAAAGCUAGAGUAUUGGAGAGGUAAGUGGAAUUCUUGGUGUAGCGGUGAAAUGCGUAGAUAUCAAGAGGAACCCCGGUGGCGAAAGCGACUUACUGGACAAAUACUGACGCUGAGGCACGAAAGCUAGGGGAGCAAAAAGGAUUAGAUACCCUUGUAGUCCUAGCCGUA